GCCUCUUUCUCUAAAAAAAAAAAAAUCACUUCUGCCUCUUCCCCUUGCAUCCUCAUCAAAGCCGCCCAGGACCACUUCUCUCUCGUCACCACCAAGCUCACCUCCGCUCUCAACCUCACGCCGUCCAUGACCGCCGUCAUACUCCUCGCCGUCGGAAAUGGCGUCCCGGGCGUCUUUGCCUCCGUCGCCGCAUUCCGCCGUGACAACUACCGGACCUAAUUCGGCGGGAUCCUCUCUGCCGGGACGUUCUUCGCUGUCUACAGGGCCGGUUUCGCUCAACCUGGCGACGUUCGUGAGGAACUUCAUGUUCUAUUUGAUUUCAGUUCUUGUUCUAUAGGACCGGGUAAUUUUUGUAGCCACCGCCUUCUGCGCAUCACAUCGCGAAGAAAAACAAAGGGUGUUUUAUCGAACCAAUCUGAGGCCGCCUUAGAUAGAAUUUUGAAAUUGCAUGAUAAGCUUACUGAUGCUAUUCCAAAACUCUCUGUGAGAAAGUAGUUGGCAGUAGCUAUGAGAAUUUUCGGUCAACCCAAUGGUAUUACUAAUCAGUAUAUCUAAGUGUGUAACAUAGACCAGAUGUCCUCAUGAAUGCUUAGUUUGAAGGAGAAGCUCAAGCAUAGUGCGAGGAAGAGUCUGAGUAUGUUUAUAUGAAGGUCUCUUUGGGAUAGAACAGUCCACUUUCAGUGCUUUGGCUGGCACCGCAACUGAGGUGAUUGUUUCUUGGCCAAUUCACCAUGUAAUUUGGUCUGUUUUCUAUUUACUGAAUCAAUAAUUUUUUCAAUUUUGGGUAGAAAACUGAGUUAAUUGGGAUUUGGGAUUAGAUUGAGCAACUCGCAUACUUGAUGUUCUGAUGCUAUGCAGGCAUGAUGCAGAAGCUAUUUGGGUUGCAAUAAGUCUGGUGAAUCCUAGGUUGGUAGAUGCAAUGAAGCUAUCAUUCAAAUUAUUUCUUCAUUAAGAGAACUUGGUAUCAUAGUGGAGGUAUCUUGGAGUAAAGAAGGAGAAAAGAAGUAAAAGAGGGAUUUGAAAGGCAAAAUCGGGAAAUCUGCCUGUGCAGAUCAGUUAACUUCGACAGAGCACUGAGACCAGCUCAGAACGAUCCAGAUGAUGAUCUUUAUAUUUAUAGAAAGCCUCGGAUGUCUAGUUUCCAGAUCUUUUUACGGUUCGUCAAUAUCAUUUUUCUAGAGGAAGUUAUGACCGAUUUAGUACAAGAAGGUCAGGCUGCGCGUGAAUCUGAGGUUGGACGGGAAUUUAUGUUUCGAAGCCCAAAUCACACCGAAAAGCCCGAGGACGAGUUUGUGCUUCAUAUAUCAGCUCAAUAUAGACAAAUGGCAUGAUGUGAAUGGUUGGAAUGAGUCAUCAAGUUCAAGAGCCAAUAGGAAAACUCCACCUAAGCACGCUAACCCUAAUUCUUUUAAGUUUUGGAUUUCCUACACAACAAGAAAGAUGGAGGCAACCUCUAACCAUAUAAAAGGAGAUGAUUCUGCAGCAGCUCUCUCUCUCUCGCUCUCUCUGCCUCCCCUUCUUUAGUUUGUUUUGUUUCUUCUAUGUUUAACUAGUUUUUAUUAGUUAGGGGGCUGCUUGAAGCCCCUAGACAUGAACUACAAGAUGAUUUGACUUUUGAUUUUAUUUUCUUUUAAUUCAAGAUGAGACUUUUGUUUA